AAAACUGUGAACCAGUGAUUUCUUGAGUCGCUCCCAUAGCAGACUCAGUCAAAUAGGAUGACCACUCCCAACAGAGGAGGACCAUUCCUCAGUCCAGGGUAUAUGAGUAGCUGCACUCCCCUGCUAGAACCUCCAAACAAGCUCUCAAGGUCCAAAGAGGCUGUGAAGCACAAGCCUUGUCAAGGACUUACAUUGUAGGCUUAAGUGGUAUUCUUUCUGCUGU
rnacentral:snRNA from 1 species